rnacentral:lncRNA from 1 species
AGAAGAGAUGGCAGAGAACUUGCUCAGUCUCUCUGCCACAUGAGGAACCUAGCAAGAAGAUGGGCCAUCUGCAAACUAGGAAGAGGGCACUUUCCUGAACUCAGCCAUGCUGGCCCCUCAUCACAGACUUCCAGCCUCCAAAACUUUAUAAUCCCUUCCUGGGUUUCCUGGUCGGUGAUGACAUCAAACAUAUCCAGCCCCUCACCGUCUGUGAUGCUGUACUCAAUUUCAGCAUUUUCUCCCACAUCAGCGUCGCUGGCUUUGAUUCUGCCAAUUGGUGUCCCCGGUGGAGAAGAUUCAGGAGUUUUAAACUGGUGUUAAUUGCUGGUUUGCGUGGCAGUCAAGAUUUCAAUGGCCACGUUAUCAUUUUAAAACUCAGGGAAGCGAUGUCUACUGUUGAAAAGGAGAUAAAAUGAAAUGAAGUACCACCACUCAACUUUGCCCAAGUCACUGAAUUUUCUCGAUUUGACUUGAAGACUCUAUUUUCCUUUAAGAGGCAAGUGGAUUGGUAAUCAGCAAGAUCAUAGCUUUAAUACAAGCUAAAUAGCUGCCCUUUGUUUUUUCUUUUAACAUGAUAUAUGUGGUUGGGAGGAUAGACAGAACAGUCAAGGCACAAACAGCAUAAGAAAGUACAGUUGACCUUUGAACAACAUGAAUUUGAACUGUAUGCGUCCACUUAUACUUAGAUUUUCUUCUGCCUCUGCCACCCCCGAGGCAGUAAGACCAACCCCUCCUUCUUCCUCAGCCUCCCCAACAUGAAGGCUAUGAGGAUGAAGACCUUUAUGAUGAUCCACCUCCACUUAAUCAAUAGUAAACAUAUUUUCCCUUUCUUAUGAUUUUCUUAUUAGUUUUUAUUAUUAUAUAUAUAUUUUUUGAGGCAGGGUCUCACUUUGUCACCCAGGCUAGAGUGCAGUGGCAUGAUCUUGCUCACUGCAGUCUUGACCUCCUGGUCUCAAGAGAUCCUCCGACCUCAGGUAGCUGAGACUACAGGUGCAUGCCACCACGCCUGGCUAAUUUUUUGUAAUUUUUUUCUUUUUUGGUAGAGAUGGAGUUUUCCCAUGUUGCCCAGGCUGGUCUGGCACUUCUGGGCUCAGGUGAUCCACCCACCUCGGCCUCCCAAAGUGCUUGGAUUACAAACAUGAGCCAUUGUGCCCAGCCAUGAUUUUCUUAAAAAUAUAUUCUUUUCUCUAGCUUACUUUAAGAGUACAGUAUAUAAAAAUAUAACAUACACAAUAUGUGUUAAGGCGGCCAGUCAAUGGUAGGCCAUUUGUAGCUAAGUUUUUGGGGAGUUGAAAGUUAUACAAGAAUUUUCAACUAUGCAGGUUGGUGCCCUGAACCCUUGGGUUGUUCAAUGUUCAAGUAUAAUGCUUUUCUUAUUUCUUAAAGGGGAACUUUGCUGCCUGGGGGAUGUUGAUCCUCAUUGACCCCUAAUACCUCUGACCCCUCAAAAAGCCUCAUGCUCUAGAAUAAUAAGGAAAUGAGCCAGAUUUUUAUGUUUCACAAUUUAUGAAAACAAAACAAUCCAGCAUGCUAAAGCUUUGUGUAACUGUAUUUUAAAGCAGGAUUUUCUCUACAUUUCCUCUUUUGUGCUUCUUUUCUGAUUUGUACUCAUAAGUAGUAGAAAGCAUUAAGAUGAGAUUAUUUUCCAGAAAUGAUUGUUUUCUGUGAGAACUCAAAAUAUGUUGAUUAAAAGAUAUAUAGUUGGUUAAAAAAAGAAUGUCAUUACAUAUAAUUUUUCUGUCCCUAUAUUAUCACAUUUCUCUCUAUAGCUGAUAUUUUUGUGAAUGGUUGCAAUCAACAAUCUCAGGUUUUAAAUGAUUUCUCUUUUGCUGAACACUUGAAUUGUCUGUACAAUGUAGCUUCUUAGCAAUUUUAAGAAAAAUAAAUUUGUUUUCCAUUGGCCAAAUC